rnacentral:rRNA from 1 species
AGAGAGAGACAUGCGCGCAUAUCAAUAAGCGGAGGAAAAGAAACUAACAAGGAUUCCCCUAGUAACGGCGAGUGAAGCGGGAAGAGCUCAAAUUUGAAAUCUUAAAGGGUUUCCCUUUACGAAUUGUAGUUUAAAGAAGUGUUUUCUGUUGAGGUUUUGGUAAAAGUUCUUUGGAAUAGGACAUCAUAGAGGGUGAGAAUCCCGUAUUUGACCUUUACUUUCAACUUUGUGAUACACUUUCAAAGAGUCGGAUUGUUUGGGAAUGCAGUCCAAAAUGGGUGGUAAAUUUCAUCUAAAGCUAAAUAUUGGCGAGAGACCGAUAGCGAACAAGUACCGUGAGGGAAAGAUGAAAAGAACUUUGAAAAGAGAGUUAAACAGUACGUGAAAUUGUCAAAAGGGAAGCGUUUGACACCAGUGUUGUUUUUCUGAAAAUCAAUUAAAGAACUGUUUAUGCUAAGCUGUUUAGACUUUAUCAGCUAACUGUUUAGUUUUGAGCUUUUCUUUAAUGCACUUUUCAGUUAACAAGUCAACAUCAAUUUCUUUUGCUGUAAAAAAGCUAUGAGGAAGGUGGCUUGAGAUUCGUCUUAAGUGUUUAUAGCCUCUUGCCUAUGCAGUCGGAGAGAUUGAGGUCUGCAGCGUAGAUCCUUCGGGGCUAAAUGCAUUUGUGCUAAGUUAUAGCAUUUUAUAGACAACUUGUUGACUAUGAUUUGUCUUGUAGCUUACUCGCUUAUGUUAUUUUACCUACGCUUAGGAUGUUGAGCGCAUGUCUCUCUCU